rnacentral:rRNA from 1 species
GGCGCUAAAGCGCACGCAGGCGGUUUGUUAAGUCACAUGUGAAAUCCCCGGGCUCAACCUGGGAACUGCAUCUGAUACUGGCAAGCUUGAGUCUCGUAGAGGGGGGUAGAAUUCCAGGUGUAGCGGUGAAAUGCGUAGAGAUCUGGAGGAAUACCGGUGGCGAAGGCGGCCCCCUGGACGAAGACUGACGCUCAGGUGCGAAAGCGUGGGGAGCAAACAGGAUUAGAUACCCUGGUAGUCCACGCCGUAAACGAUGUCGACUUGGAGGUUGUGCCCUUGUGGCGUGGCUUCCGGAGCUAACGCGUUAAGUCGACCGCCUGGGGAGUACGGCCGCAAGGUUAAAACUCAAAUGAAUUGACGGGGGCCCGCACAAGCGGUGGAGCAUGUGGUUUAAUU